rnacentral:ncRNA from 1 species
UGAAAUCGACUAUAUCGGUAAAGUCCUAUUGUGAUAUAACCUGUCAUAUGUUAGGAUAAUACCGAGGGAAGUCAUAUGCAUGAAGAGAUAUAUUUCGUCAACAAAAAGAGCAUAUCUUGCCGGAUUUCUUGAUGGAGAUGGAAGUAUUUAUGUGCGCCUUAAACCAAAUACUGAUUAUCGGUACGGUUUUCAGGUGGCGCCAUAUAUUGUGCUUUUUCAAUCUGCCAAAGAGAAAUCUAAAUUUGAAGAAAUUUGCUCUUUAAUAAAUCUUGGUUAUAUCAGAGAACGCAAAGAUGGAAUUCUUGAAUAUACUAUUGGAAAAAUUGACAAUAUUCUUGAAUUUUUGUCUAUAAUAGAGCCAUUCGUUAUUUUAAAAAGAAAACAAGUGGCUUUAAUGAAAAAAAUUAUUAAACAAAAAGAAAAAGUUAAAAAUAAGCAAGAUUUCGGAGCGUUGAUGAAAUUGAUAUAUUCUUUUCAAAAACUUAAUUAUUCCAAGAAAAGAAAAAUUCGCGCAUUGACCCCGUAGAGACUAAACGUCGAUUGUCCCGCAAACGCGGGAUAGUGAUAAAGUCCAUACGCUUAGUAAUAAGCGAUAAAUCACGUAAAAUUCGCAAAGCGAAUCACAUGAUGAAUAUGCGUGAGACAGGUUGGUCUCCUAUCUGCUGCAGGCGUUAGUUCCAGUCAAAUCCUUCGGGAUUUACCGCUGGAACGUUGAUACUUGAGAGGGGUCUCAGAUAGUACGAGAGGACCUCUGAGAGCGAACCUCUGGUCUACCGGCUUUCGCGCCAGCGGAACCGCCGGGUAGCUAAGUUCGUAACUGAUAAGCGCUGAAAGCAUAUAAGCGCGAAGCAGGCCUCAAGAUUAGGUAUUUUAGAUUCCUCGAAGAUUACGAGGUUGAUAGGCUCUAGGUGUAAGACCAGCAAUGGUUUUAGCCGAGGAGUACUAAUAAAUCAAAAAUAAAACCUG